GCCCAGGUGGCGGAAUUGGUAGACGCAGCAGACUCAAAAUCUGCCGUUCGCAAGGAUGUGCUGGUUCGAUUCCAGUCCUGGGCA
rnacentral:tRNA from 3 species